GGAAGAGAACGUUGACUUUGCAGAGAAAUUAAAAGCCUUCACGAGACAAUUCUAUCAUCUCCUCAAUAACAGCAAAGCCUCUGCCAAAGAACAGUAGACUGAAUCUCAGAGAGAUGUGGGCCAGUUCACAGAUCCAGAGCCUAAGGAGGAGGCCAGCAUCCCUUGAAGAAGGAUUGUGAAACACUGCCACAAGUAUAUACUGUCUGAUAUAUUUGCUGGAGCAAGUCAUCGUAACACCUGGAUCUCAACUAUUGCUCUGG